rnacentral:sRNA from 1 species
GCCAGGCGUGGUGGCUCACGCCUGUAAUCCCAGCACUUUCGGAGGCUGAGGUGGGUGGAUCACGUGAGGUCAGGAGUUCAAGACCAGCCUGGCCAACAUGGUGAAACUCUGUCUCUACUAAAAAUACAAAAAAUUAGCUGGUUGUGGUGGUGGACGCCUGUAAUCCCAGCACUUUGGGAGGCAGGGGCGGGCAAAUCACAAGGUCAGGAGUUCAAGACUAGCCUGGCCAACAUGGUGAAACCCCGUCUCU